AGGAGGGACAGGUGGUGCAUGGUUGUCGUAAGCUCGUGUCGUGAGAUGUUGGGUUAAGUCCCGCAACGAGCGCAACCCCUACGUUUAGUUGCUAACAGGUGAAGCUGAGCACUCUAGACGAACUGCCGUUGACAAAACGGAGGAAGGUGGGAUGACGUCAAAUCAUCAUGCCCCUUAUGUUCUGGGCUACACACGUGCUACAAUGGCCGGUACAGACGGAGGCGAAGCCGCGAGGCGGAGCAAAUCCGAAAAAGCCGGUCUCAGUUCGGAUUGCAGGCUGCAAUUCGCCUGCAUGAAGUCGGGAUCGCUAGUAAUCGCAGGUCAGCAUACUGCGGUGAAUACGUUCCCGGGCCUU
rnacentral:rRNA from 1 species